UACAGAGGGUGCGAGCGUUAAUCGGAAUUACUGGGCGUAAAGCGUGCGUAGACGGUUAUUUAAGUCGGGUGUGAAAGCCCCGGGCUCAACCUGGGAAUUGCAUUCGAGACUGAAUAGCUAGGGUACGGUAGAGGGAAGCGGAAUUUCCGGUGUAGCGGUGAAAUGCGUAGAUAAUCGGAAGGAACAUCAGUGGCGAAAAGCGGACUUCC
rnacentral:rRNA from 1 species